rnacentral:rRNA from 1 species
UUAUGUACAUGCUUAUAACAGUAAUGCGCCUGAUCCCAUUAGAACUCUACAAUUAAGCGUUCUUAGGAUAGAGUAGUAUUGGGAUGGGUGACCUCCUGGGAAGUUCUAGUGUUUUACAUGCC